UACGGAGGGUGCAAGCGUUAUCCGGAUUCACUGGGUUUAAAGGGUGCGUAGGCGGGUAAGUAAGUCCGUGGUGAAAUCUCUGAGCUUAACUCAGAAACUGCCGUGGAUACUAUUUGCCUUGAAUAUUGUGGAGGUGAGCGGAAUAUGUCAUGUAGCGGUGAAAUGCUUAGAUAUGACAUAGAACACCAAUUGCGAAGGCAGCUCACUACACAGUCAUUGACGCUGAGGCACGAAAGCGUGGGGAGCAAACAGG
rnacentral:rRNA from 1 species